AGUGAACGCUGGCGGUAGGCCUAACACAUGCAAGUCGAACGGCAGCACAGUAAGAGCUUGCUCUUACGGGUGGCGAGUGGCGGACGGGUGAGGAAUACAUCGGAAUCUACUUUUUCGUGGGGGAUAACGUAGGGAAACUUACGCUAAUAGCGCAUACGACCUACGGGUGAAAGCAGGGGAUCUUCGGACCUUGCGCGAUUGAAUGAGCCGAUGUCGGAUUAGCUAGUUGGCGGGGUAAAGGCCCACCAAGGCGACGAUCCGUAGCUGGUCUGAGAGGAUGAUCAGCCACACUGGAACUGAGACACGGUCCAGACUCCUACGGGAGGCAGCAGUGGGGAAUAUUGGACAAUGGGCGCAAGCCUGAUCCAGCCAUACCGCGUGGGUGAAGAAGGCCUUCGGGUUGUAAAGCCCUUUUGUUGGGAAAGAAAAGCAGCAGGUUAAUACCCCGCUGUUCUGACGGUACCCAAAGAAUAAGCACCGGCUAACUUCGUG
rnacentral:rRNA from 1 species